UCGCAGGUUUGUUUAACAACCAAGGCCACACUGUUUUUGAUAUCUCUAGUCCUAAUAAUAUUCGUCAUCACAGCAGCUCAAGGUGGGCCGGGCAAGAUCGCCGUUCGGGGCCAUUCAUCGCCAGGUGCUCAUUCAGCAGUCGGACAAAACCCACCAAGUCAGCAUAGCCGUAUGUCGUUCAAAACUCUGGAAAGAGCCCCUGUGUGUGAAAGACGUUAUAGAGGAUGUAUCGGCGGCAUCCAGCAGCCAAAGCCAGUUUGCUCAAAGUAUAUGAGAGGAUGUGUCAGAAAUUAAUAAUGCAUGCAAGAUUAAUAUAGUGAAGAAUCGAAUUCUAUGUAG